rnacentral:rRNA from 1 species
UGGGGAAUUUUGGACAAUGGGCGAAAGCCUGAUCCAGCAAUGCCGCAUGUGUGAAGAAGGCCUUCGGGUUGUAAAGCACUUUUGUCCGGAAAGAAAUCCUUGGCUCUAAUACAGUCGGGGGAUGACGGUACCGGAAGAAUAAGCACCGGCUAACUACGUGCCAGCAGCCGCGGUAAUACGUAGGGUGCAAGCGUUAAUCGGAAUUACUGGGCGUAAAGCGUGCGCAGGCGGUUUGCUAAGACCGAUGUGAAAUCCCCGGGCUCAACCUGGGAACUGCAUUGGUGACUGGCAGGCUAGAGUAUGGCAGAGGGGGGUAGAAUUCCACGUGUAGCAGUGAAAUGCGUAGAGAUGUGGAGGAAUACCGAUGGCGAAGGCAGCCCCCUGGGCCAAUACUGACGCUCAUGCACGAAAGCGUGGGGGAGCAAACAGGAUUAGAUACCCCUGGUAGUCCACGCCCUAAACGAUGUCAACUAGUUGUUGGGGGAUUCAUUUCCUUAGUAACGUAGCUAACGCGUGAAGUUGACCGCCUGGGGAGUACGGUCGCAAGAUUAAAACUCAAAGGAAUUGACGGGGUCAUAGCUGUUUCCU